CCUACGGGUGGCAGCAGUGAGGAAUAUUGGUCAAUGGGCGGAAGCCUGAACCAGCCAAGUAGCGUGCGGGAUGAAGGCCCUACGGGUCUUAAACCGCUUUUGCACGGGGGUAACACCCUCCACUUGUGGAGUUCUGCGGGUACCGUACGAAUAAGCGCCGGCUAACUCCGUGCCAGCGGCCGCGGUAAUACGGAAGGCCCGAGCGUUAUCCGGAUUCAUUUGGGUUAAAGGGAGCGUAGGCGGGGGUGCAAGUCAGCGGUAAAAUCGCGGGGCUCAACCGCGCACCGCAGUUGAAACUGGACGCCUUGAGUGCACAAGAGGCAGGCGGAAUGCGUGGUGUAGCGGUGAAAUGCAUAGAUAUCACGAGGAACCCCGAUUGCGAAGGCAGCUUGCCGGGGUGCGACUGACGCUGAGGCUCGAAGGCGCGGGGAGCAAACAGGAUUAGAUACCCCAGUAGUC
rnacentral:rRNA from 1 species